GUCAUUGCUUGUUGCAAAACACAUCUGUGCAAAUUUGCUAAAGAAUCUAUCUUAAUAUUUCAUUUUUUAAAUAAAGUGCAUAUCUCAUGAUAUAAUGAUCACUGAAAACUGCUUCCAAAUUUGCAAAAGAAAAACUUGUGAAGAGUGUUACUUUAAGUAAGCAUGACUUGAGGAUGGGGGAAGAAAAUUAAGUUCUCAAAAAGAUUUUACACUGAUGUGACUGUGCUGUGUGCUCUCAGGUUUUUUUUAAUCAUUUACUUUACAUUACUGUGUGCCGUUGAGUCAAUUCCGACUCAUACCAACCCCGUGUAACAGAAUAGAACUGCCCUGGAGAGUUUCCUAGGUUGUAAUCUUUAUAAGAGCAGAUUACCGGGUCUUUCUCCAGCCAAGCAGCUGGUGAGUUCAAACCACUGACCUUUUAGUUAGCAGCCGAACACUUAACCGUUUUGCCACCAGAGCUCCUUAGGUGUACCAUAUCUGCCUCCAACAAAAGAUUUAACGUAGUUUAACAUAAAACACACAGACAGAAUAGAAACGAAGACCAUUAGAGAAAGACUAAAAAGAUUAAGUUCAAGAAGUUGAUCUCCACAGACUCCUCCAGUUCUAGAACUAUAAUUCUAAGUCACUGGGCCACACUGCCUAAGGGAGGUGGGGUUUUGUAGUAGAAAGGUUGCCAGUGUCAAAAUCACAGGUCUUCUUUUUACUCCAGUCCUCUGCCAUCAAUUUUCUUACCUGUAGAUUGAGAUUGUGUCACGAAAAGGGCUCAAAUUGCCCACCAACAAGAGGGAAUAGAAGAACCACGGGAAGACAAGGGGAAAAAGAAAAUGCGAGAAAAUGAAUCAACUGAACUAACUCACUGAAACAUUGAUCAUGUACUGUGUGUCUCUACAGUAGCACUGGAGAUGUAAAGAUAAGUACAUUCUUUGGUCUCAAGAAGCUCACAGUCUAAAAAAGAGAGAGGGAGGAAAUGGAGAACCCUGAACUAUAAAUGCAGGCCAAUGAUAGAGGAAGGCGCUAGGUACAGCGUGAAACCAAGAUACUGGGCGGGGUGGUGGCGUGCACAGAAGCAUAAGAACAUGCUUUCUAAACAGCCACACAGCAGAGACAUCUCUCCUAAAACUAGCUCUGACUGCUCCAGGUUCUGGCCCAUUCUCUCCUCAUCUCCUCCCAUCCUUGCUGGGCUGCUCCAAUUCUUCUUCCUUUCUAACCUGCCAAAGGUAAAGAUUUUAGAAGCACCAGGUUGAAAGGCAUGCCCUGCUGGCAUAAAGGUUAGGAGCUUGGCUGCUAACCAAAAGGUUGGCAGUUCAAAUCCACCAGCCGUUCCUCAAAGACCCUAUGGGGCAGCUCUUCUCUGUCCUAUAGGGUCACUAUGAGUCGGAAUUGACUCAAUGGCAAUGGGUUUAUUUAUAUUUUGUUUUUGAUUUAAGCUGAAAGGGAUCUCAAGACUCUCAGGUAAAGAAAUGUCUAAAUUAUUGGAGACAAAUCAGUUCCUGGUAUCUCUCUUGAUAAUAAUUUCAGUGUCUUUUCAUUUGAUGGAUAGAAAAUUUCAGCGGAAAGGACACUAGUGUAGCAGGCGGGAGAUUUGGGCUCUAUUUCUUUCUGGUAGUAGGUGAGUCAUCUUGAGCAGGUCCCUUAACUUUCUGAGCUUCAGACUGCACAGUGUGAAGUGAGGAGUAGAACCUGUUCUGGUUAUUACAGUCUGGAAAUUUCUUUUUCUUCUAAGUGCAGCUUCAGCAGCUUUUCUGUAUUUGAGUCCAUGAUUCAGAAUGCUGCCACAACAUCUCUCCCCAAGCCCACACCCAGUCUAACGCUGAACAGUUACAAUAAGGACACAACUUAGCUAUUGCUUCUACUUCUUUCCACCUGCUGGUGGAAACUUUCUUCUCUGUGUCUUUGCUCAAACUUGGCAGUCUUCUUUGGACUCUCUGCAAUUUCUCCAUUUCCAAUUUUAAAGUAUGGUGACUAAACUGUCCAUGAUGUCCUGAUAGGCUUCUGAAUAAGCGAAAGAGAAAAUGCUUUUUGUGCAUCUUCUGGAAAUCUUCCUUUAACUCUGCAUUAAGUAAUACGCUACCAAGAGUGAGAACUCUUGGAAUCGGCUGAAGCAUGGACAGAAAUAUAUUACAUCAAAAUUUAAAGAAAGCAGACACAUGUACGCCACUGUUUAUUGCAGCCUUAUUCACAACAGCCAAGAGGCGGAAACAACCCAUGUCUCCAUUGCCAGACAAAUGGAUAAACAAAAUGUCGUACAUACAUGUAUACCGUCUGAGUUUGGGAAUAUUUUUCAGCCUAAAAAGGGAAAUGAAGUUCUGAGACAUAUUACAACAUGGAUGAAACUUGAAAACGUUACGCUGAGUGAAAUAAGCCAAACACAAAAUGACGAGCAUUGUGUGAUCCUGCUUAUAAGAAGCAUCUAAAUAGGCAAAGGCAGAGACCGAAGAUUAUCCCCAGGGGCUGAGGGGACGAGGCAAUGGUGAAUUCCUGCUUAAGGGGGACUCACUGUCUAUUCUGGAUGAAGAAAGUGUUCAAAGACGGAUGAUGCGGAAAGCUGCACAACACUGUGGGGGUAAUUAAUGCCAUGGAAUUGUACUCUUAGAAACGAUUAAAUGGCAAAUUUUAUGUUAUAUGUAUUUCACUAUACUAAGAAAAUUAUAGCAAAGGAAGAGCCUAGACUCUAUAACAAACAUUUUACACCUGUGUUCCACAUAAACCUUGUACGUACACACGCAAAACAAAUUUACUUCAAACAUGAAUUUACACAGCUGUUUUUUCAUUCAAAAUUUUUAAAGAAUGUGUCAGGUAGUGUGCUAAGUACUGGAGAGAGGGUAGUGGGGGGUCCUUGACCUUAUAAUACUUACCCCACCAAGCAUUUAUGAAGUUGUUUCCAGAGCUUAAUUUUGCCACUCCAACCUUGUGUCCAUAAGGGGAUCCUCACCGUGCUUGGACACACUCACCAUCUGUGGAGCCGUUUCCGAAACAGAGAAGCACAGGCCCCAGGCCAUGCAUCAGGUUAUCUGAGGAUGUUAAAUGGGCUACAAGUAAUUCGAUGCCCCCUGAUUAAGCGCUCCAAUUAAAAUAAAAUGGCAAACUCAAAUGACCCAAGAUCAUUUAAAACUAGAUGGCUGGACUACAGGACAAAAGGAGUCUGUGUACCAGCUAUUUCUGAAACUCUGUGGGGCAGGAUCAGUUCUGAUUUUGUCUGUUUGCUUGUUUGCUUGACUGCAAGCCUCUGGUCUCAUCAUUUUUCCAAAAUACAAUAAAAUAAAUUACUAGAAAAAUGAAAUUACUAAAGUGGCAUUCAAAAUAUAAGCCCAAUCUUUUUAUUAUUAGAUUCACUGACCUAAAAUCACUCUGUCAAAUUGCUAUAAAACUUUCUAUGCGCUUAGACUCAACUUUUUUGCAACAACCAUUGGCCUGUGGAUAACAUGAGUAACCCUGCUCUAGACUCUGUAUUGAGAUUUGAACUAAGAUGAAGAGAUGUAGACAGAAUUAUCCUUCAUUUUGUUAGAUUCAAAACCAGUUUGGAUCUAUACCAAAAGAAGAUUGACUUGUGGAUCGAUGUAAGUCUAAAAACAAGGUAAUAAGAAAGCUUGAUUUUAAUCGCUGGCAAGAAAGUAGAAAAGUGCCUAGCAGGUAAUAAGCGCUUAACAAAUAUUUGCUGAAUGACUGAAUAAAUGAAUGAACUAGUGGUGGCAGCCUGCGGAGGGCGUAAAGGCCACACAGAGAAGAAUGUCAGGAGGGACUGUGAUACCUGACAGUCUCGAGGUGAGACUAAGUAGACAUCCAAGUGUCAGAAGAUAAUAAAAUAAAGAUUCCAAAGUUGUGAAACUUGAAGAAGUAAUCAAAUAAAAUAUAACAUAAACCCAAGAAAAGUGUAAAUUCACCACCUCCAGAGAAAAAUGAGCCACAUACCCACGCAACAGCGUAAAAAAGAAGACUUACAGCCCUUAGCUGACUAAAGCUAAGUGGUGGGAUGAAGCUGCCCAGUCUUAAAUUUCAUAAAUAAAUGUGUAGGGUCAGACCAAGAAAAACCAUAGCCCUAAAAUUCUCAGAUCAGGUUGCAUGGUUUUACAAGAGUUAUUGAUAGAUCAGAGUACAUUUAGGCAAGUAUUACAGUAGCAGAAGAUUUGAAAAUGCAAUUGCGUGGAGUAGAGUGAAGGAGAACUAGUGAUAUUUGAAUCCAAUGAAGAUACAUCUUAUCUUGGAGGGAUGGAGAACGAAGGGUAGUAAAGUAGUUGUUCCCUCGUGUGGAGAAGAUAUUGAAUUUAUUUUCUUCAUGGUGGGCAAAAAAGGGAUGGUCAGAAAUAACUAAGCUGUAGUGAGAUUUUAAUAUCAAUAGAAGGAAAAGCUUUUAAUAAUAAACUGUCUAAAAAUAAAGUGAAACAUUAUUUUUGGAGGUGGGGAGCUCUCUCCCAUCAAAAAUCGUGCUCAAGCAUAAAUGGGAUGAGCAUCUAUCAGAAUGUUGCGGGGAUCCCUGAACUGAAUGGACCUUGGAAUAUCUACUGAAUUCUUAAUGACAGAGACUAUUUUUUAAUUAAAGAAAUAUGUAUUGAGCAACUAUUCUGUGCCAAGCAUCGUUCUAGGCACCAGGGAUGCAGUGAUUAAAAAAAAAAAAAAAAAAACAAUGUUCUCACCUCUUAGAGCUUAUAUUCUACCAUGCAAAUAAUGAGCACAUACCUCAACAGGAAUUGCACUUUGAGUAUUAAAGUCAGCUUUCCUGUCACGCUAGCAAGACCAUUCUCAAAAACAAGGUUUGUGGAGAGAAGAUUUCUAAGUAACAAAGCCCUUCCUUUAACACGUUAAAGAGCUGGUCUGGAAAACUGGGUCAUAGAAUUUUCCACAGUGGCGGAGGCCCUUCCAAACAGGAAGAGGAAGGGGAGAAAGUUCUCUUGCUCUGUUCUCAGUGCCUUGUGGGAUGUACAAGGGUGAUAGUGAACUGGUUUGAUGUCACUUUCUUGAAUGAUCCUUCCCACUUGGUGGAAGGGGAAAGUGACCGUAGAGAUGUCCAGAAAAGUACAGAGAAGUCUAGGGACAUUGGAGCUAUUGACAUAAUUUCCCAGGGAGGCUCCAGGCCUGGGAGACUUCUAGCCUUAAGAAAUUUUGGAUAUGUUACUGGAGCUUAGAGAUAGCCUCAGAGGACAAAUGAAUCUGAGGCAGCAAUACUGGGUCUCCAUGGAUUUUACAUAGAAUUUAGAGGACCCAGAGUUCCUCCAGGCUUCAAUAAGCAAACACUAAAGACCAGAAUGAGGGUAUUGGUAGUUCAGUGGUAGAAUUCUCACCUUCCAGGCAGGAGACCUGAGUUCCAUUCCCAACCAACGCACUCAUGCACAGCCAUCACCCAUUGGUCAGUGGAGGCUUGCAUGUUGCUAUGAUGCGGAACAGGUUUCAGAGGAGUUUCCAGACUAAGACAGACUAGGAAGAAAGGCCUGGUGAUCUACUGCCAAAAACCAGCCAGUGAAAACCCUGUGGAUAAUAAUAGUCCAAUCUGUAGCUUACUGUGGGGAUGGUCCAGGAUGAGGAAGUGAUUUGUUCUGUUGUGCAUGGGGUCACCAUGAGUCUGUAGCUGAUUUUACAGCAGCUGACAACAACAGCAAAAGCCAGAAAGCAGCACGGUCAGAUAAAGAGGAGGAUGCUCUUAACAGGGACCUUGAGAGCUGGAGGAGAAGGCCAGGACCACGGGCUCCAAAGGCAGGGCCCCGCACGUCACCAGAGCGGCCUGAUAGUCCUCAGUUCAGGGGUCAGUCCAACCCAGCCAAUCUGCAGCUGGCACUACCAAGGAUCCAGAAGGCACUGCACAGCAACCAGCCACUUCCCCCCUUCUCCCCAUUGCCACAGCACCCUGCACUAGAUACUGUUGUUGCCUCACCCAGAUCACCUGCAUUAUCCGGAAGCCCAUUCCUCUGUGGCUGGGAUGUGCACUGCUAGGAGCCCCACCUGCCCUCCUCUCUCAACAAUUGCCCUCUGCUACCAGGGUCUCCUCACACAGAGAGCUAGGUACCACAGCCAGUAACUGACUGGGGGGAUAAAAAGUUGGCUUGCCUAGAAAUGGGCCAACCCUGCAGCGUUGCCCUGUGGCUCAAGCUGGGGCUAGACUUCACCUAAGGCCACAUCUCCUGGGCCCACUCCACGCUAAGAUUCUGUAAUGAGGAUGAGAAUAUAUUUGUUUGUGUGGGGUGAGGGGAGAGAGGUGAUAAAUGUAAAAGACUGGAAAAAACAGAGUACUCUGUAAGGGGCUAUUUCAACUUGCCUGAUGGUGAAUUAAACUAAAUAUUUGAUGGAAAGGGGAGAAUUAUACCAGGAAAGAGUAGAAUUUUAAUGACCGGCAAAUCUACGUUUCGUUUGGACUCCCUGGUGACUUAGGGGUGUGUGUAUGUGUGUGUGUGUGUGUGUGUGUGUGUGUACGCGGGUGGGUGACGGAGCUGUGGGGCUUUACGAAGAUCACAUUCACUUACCCUUUCUUUGUGUCUCUGAGAAUAAUGUGACUAAAUAAAUUUGUGAACUUCAUGACAGCCCUCUAAAGAAAUAAAACCAGUAAGCUGGAGAGUGUGAGCAGAGACCGGCGAUGGUAUGGGACCAGGUGGCCAGGAAAGGCCUCCGAGAAGGUGACAUUGAGUUGGACCUGGGGGGCGAGAGUAAGCAGUCAUGAACAGUACUGAGGGAAGUAUGCCUUCACUCUUGCAUCACUAACUAGUGGUUUAGGACCUGGCACAUUGUAGCUACUCAAUAAAUACUCGGCGAGAAAUGAAUGAGUAAGUUAAUCAAUUUAUACGAUUUUGUCAGACGUAAACAAUCAACUGGGCCAACUCAGAUGAUUUAGAAUUCAUGUGUAUGCCAUAACCCUUCCUCUAGGUAAUGCUACGCUCUCUCUUUAUAUACCUGAGAAUGAGUCUUAGAACAGCUUAGGUUUUAAAGCUAGCAUGUCAGAUAAUUUACCCCUUAAAUCCUUUAAGAAACCAAUAUGUUUCCUGUUUCAUUCUUAAAUGUAGCAGUGGGCAGGAUUACCUGCACCAC